rnacentral:rRNA from 1 species
GAGUUUGAUCCUGGCUCAGGACGAACGCUGGCGGCGUGCUUAACACAUGCAAGUCGAACGGAGUCUAAAAAUUACCACUGAGAUCUUAGUCAGUGGGCGAGCAGCGUCAUGGACACGAAGUGGCCAUCACGCGUUAAAAAAGUGCCAACACAGGGAUGAGGCCUGAGUGGUGAUUUUUAGACUGAGUGGCAAACGGGUGAGUAACACGUAGGCAACCUGCCGACAGGAUGGGGACAACAUUCCGAAAGGAAUGCUAAUACCGAAUGGAGUCCGAGGAUGGCAUCAUCCCCGGAUAAAAGAUGGCCUCUGAAUAUGCUAUCGCCUGUCGAUGGGCCUGCGUCUGAUUAGCCAGUUGGCGGGGUAACGGCCCACCAAAGCGACGAUCAGUAGCCGGUCUGAGAGGAUGAACGGCCACAUUGGGACUGAGACACGGCCCAGACUCCUACGGGAGGCAGCAGUGGGGAAUCUUCCACAAUGGGCGAAAGCCUGAUGGAGCAACGCCGCGUGAGUGAAGAAGGUCUUCGGAUCGUAAAGCUCUGUUGCACGGGACGAAAACCGGGUUUGAGAA